rnacentral:lncRNA from 1 species
GGUAUAUAUAUACCUAUAUAUAAUACAUAUAUAUGGUAUAUAAGUGUGUGUAUAUAUAUAGGUAUAUAUGAAAUAUAUUUUAUAUUGUAAUAUAUAUUGUAUAUAUAUUACAUAUAUAGGUAUAUACAUAUAUGUGAAGGUAGGUAUGUACCUUUUGUUUUUCCAUUUUAUCUGUGUUUGGACACUUGGGUUACCUCCAGUUUGUUAUGACUAUUGCAAAUAAUACUGCAUAAUAUGAAUAUGGUGUACAGAUGUCUGUUCAAGUCCCUGAUUUCAAUUCUUUGGGGUGCACACCCAUAGUGGUAUUGCUGGACCCUUAGAAAAUUCUGUGUUUAGUUGCUGAGGGAAGUAAUAUAGUGCUUUCCACAAAACCAGCACCUUUUUAAAUUCCCACCAGCAAGGCUCAGGGGUUCCAGUAUCCCCACAUCCUUGCCAAAAUUUAUUAUUUUCUCUGUGUUUCUUUCUUUUCUUUUUUUUUAGUAAUAGCCAUCCUAAUGGAUAUAAAGUGUUAUUGUGGUUUUGCUCCAUAUGAUUUGUGUGAUGUUGGGUGUAUUCACCUGUUUCUUUCAUUUCUUUUUUUCUUUCUCUUUCUUUUCUUUUCUUUCUUAUUGUGAUGCUGGAGAUUGAAUCCAGGGUCUCUGGCAUGUUAAGUGAAUGCUCUACCACUGAGCCACGCCCUCAGCCCCACCUAUUUCCUUUUACAUUUUCAAGUAUGGUUGUUAGAACAUUUUGAAUUAUGGUAUAGUGCCAGGCACUGUCAUGCACACCUGUAAUCCAGGGACUCAGGAGGCUGAGGCAGGAGGAUCUCCAGUUCAAAGCCAGCCUCAGCAAUUUAGCGAGGCCCUAAGCAAUUUAGCUAGACCCCCAUCUCAAAAUAAAACAUAAAAAAGGACUGGGGAGAGGCUGGGAUUGUGGCUCAGCAGUAGAGCGCUCGCCUAGCAUGUGUGAGGCCCUGGGUUUGAUCCUCAGCACCACAUAAAAAUAAAAUAAAGAUAUUGUGUCCAACUACAACUAACAAAUAAAUAUUAAAAACAAAGGGCUGGGGGUGUGGCUCAGUGGUUAAGCACCCUGGGUUCAAUCCCUGGUAACCACUCCCCCCAAAGUUACAGGGUAAUUCCUGCUGCAUUUCUGUGUCGAAUGUUAAAAAUAGGAUGUGGGUGGGGGCAGAUGAGCAUGCAGGAUUUACAGACAUGAUCCCAGAUGGGUUGCAAAUGUGUUGUUACACCUCCACCUGCUGGAGAUGUACAGCAUCCUCAGACAGCAGCCCAGAAGCUCCUGGGCUUGUGAUUCUUGACCAGGACUGGGGUGGGGAUUUAGGUAGAGUGCUGGUUUGGGUAUUGGUGUCCCUUCUGAAGCUCAUGUUGGAGUUUAAUCUCCAUUGUGAGAUAUUAAGAGGGUGAAAACUUAAUCCAAGUUUGGAGGUGAGGCUUUGGGGAGGUGAUUAGGAUGGAAGCCAUCAGAAUAGUAGUAGCUUUAAAAGAAGAGGGAGGAAGACGAAGACACAGGACACAUUUAUGUGAUUUUCUGCACCACCUCAGAACUCUUUCAGCCACAAGGCUAUCACCAGAUGUGGCCUCUCCACCUUGGAUCAGAACUUGAGCCAAAAUAAAUUCCCUUCCUUCCUUCCUUUCUCUUUCUUUUUUUUGGUAUUAGGAGCACACAGCAGUGUUCUGUCAUUGAGUGACAUACCCAGUCCAUUUUUAUUUUUUUUGUUCUGAGACAGAGUCUUGCUAAAUUGCUGAGGCUGGCUUCAAACUUUCAAUCCUCUUGCUUCAGCCUCCCAAGUUGCUGGGAUUAUAGCCAUGCACCACUGGGCCCAGCCAAACCUCUUUAUAAUUUACCCAACUGUGGGAGUUUUAGUCAGCUUUUUCACUGCUAUGAUUGAAGGACCCAACCAGAACAACUGUAGAGGAGGAGAAGUUUAUUUGGGGGGUUCAUGGUUUCAGAGGUCUCAAUCCAUAGACAGCAGACUCCAUUCCUCAGGGCUCAAGGUGGGUCUGAACAUCAUGGUGGAAGAGUGUGGCAGAGGGAAGCAGCUCGAAUCUUGAUCAGAAAGCAGAGAAAGAGAGAGAGUCCAUUCCCCAGAUACAAAGUGCAUACCCCAUGGCCAUGCACCUCCUCCAGCCACACUCCAGCCCCCACUCAGUUAAUCCCAUCAGGGACUAAUUCAGUGAUUAGUUUAAGGCUCUCGCAACCUAAUCUUUUCCCUCUGAACCCUCUCACAUUGUCUCCCACAGGAGCUUUUGGGGACAGUAGCAAAAUGGCAAAGGCAGACUUUCUCCCCAGCCUGCUCCUCAUUUGUCAACCUGAGUCAGGUCUGCAGCUCUGCUGUAUGGGGACUGAGGAGAGCAUUAGAAGUCAGACCUCAGCACCCAGGGAAGGGGAGAGAUGCCCCACAGAGACUGGGGGAGUCUGGGCUGUCUUGGCAGCUACAUCCAGGCAGUGGGAGUCACCUUGCGUGGAUGAGGAGGUCAGGUGCAUGGCCUGGGCCAUGGCGGUGAACUCUGUGGGGGAGACAGAGUGUGAAGGUGGCCGGCCCCACCAGCGCUGUCCUCAGCACCAUUUUUACUGAGCUGCAUCCAGCAGUGACUGAGUCAGCACCAAUCAGGGCUGGGUGAGAUUUAAGGAUAACUCAUUGGAAGUGGUUGACAUAGUGCCCGGGGUGUAGACAGGACUCAACACAUGACAGCAGCUGGUAAGGUGGAGUAGGAGGCUGGGCACGGGGCCCGGGACUCUCUUUUCAUUCAUUCUACAAAUAUUUGGUGAGUGCUUAAAGUACUGUCAGUGUUGUUCAAAUGCUGGGAAAAGAGAAGGCUGCCAGUAGAAAAAGACAGUGCUCUCAGAUGCUAGCUCUUACCCAGUGUGUGCCACGCUGGACUGGGCAGGCAGUCCAGCACAGGCAGCCUUCAGGAGGACGAGAAUGCACCUACCAGGCCGGUGGGACCAGGCUCGCCAAGGCUGGGGCUUGCUCAGUCCGGCCAGCAGAGAACUCUGGUCUGAGUGUGCACUUCCCCCACCUGCAGGCCAUAGGACCUGGCACUGAGAUCACACGAAGACCAGGUCCGGACAGCCAGGCCCUGACCUCAAUAUGGGGCCACCCUUCCUUAAGCUCCCCUCUUCUGCCUCCAUCUCAGACUCCCUCACCUCAGAGCCCUGCCCUGCCCCACCCCCUCGUGCCUUCCACUUGGACUUCUAGAGGUGUGCUGUCCAGUACCACAGCCACCAGCACGUGUGGCCACUGAGUACUUGAUAGGUGGCUGUUCUGAAUUCAGAGGUUCCGUGAGCAUAAAACACACACUGGGUUUCAAAGAUUUAGUAUGAAGAAAAUCAUGUAAAAUAAUAUGUUGCUUUUUUGUUGUUGUUGACUACAUGUUGCAUUGAUAAUGUCUUGAAUACAUUGGGUUGAAUAAAAU